rnacentral:siRNA from 1 species
UCGACCUAUUCUCAAACUUUAA